AGAUCAAUGGUAAGCAUACUUGUCUGGGGAUUCUAGAAGAUUAUUUCCAGACAUUAAUCAGAGGUUC
rnacentral:snoRNA from 1 species